AGAGUUUGAUCAUGGCUCAGAUUGAACGCUGGCGGCAGGCCUAACACAUGCAAGUCGAGCGGUAGCACAGAGAGCUUGCUCUCGGGUGACGAGCGGCGGACGGGUGAGUAAUGUCUGGGAAACUGCCUGAUGGAGGGGGAUAACUACUGGAAACGGUAGCUAAUACCGCAUAACGUCGCAAGACCAAAGUGGGGGACCUUCGGGCCUCAUGCCAUCAGAUGUGCCCAGAUGGGAUUAGCUAGUAGGUGGGGUAACGGCUCACCUAGGCGACGAUCCCUAGCUGGUCUGAGAGGAUGACCAGCCACACUGGAACUGAGACACGGUCCAGACUCCUACGGGAGGCAGCAGUGGGGAAUAUUGCACAAUGGGCGCAAGCCUGAUGCAGCCAUGCCGCGUGUGUGAAGAAGGCCUUCGGGUUGUAAAGCACUUUCAGCGGGGAGGAAGGCGAUAAGGUUAAUAACCUCAUCGAUUGACGUUACCCGCAGAAGAAGCACCGGCUAACUCCGUGCCAGCAGCCGCGGUAAUACGGAGGGUGCAAGCGUUAAUCGGAAUUACUGGGCGUAAAGCGCACGCAGGCGGUCUGUCAAGUCGGAUGUGAAAUCCCCGGGCUUAACCUGGGAACUGCAUUCGAAACUGGCAGGCUAGAGUCUUGUAGAGGGGGGUAGAAUUCCAGGUGUAGCGGUGAAAUGCGUAGAGAUCUGGAGGAAUACCGGUGGCGAAGGCGGCCCCCUGGACAAAGACUGACGCUCAGGUGCGAAAGCGUGGGGAGCAAACAGGAUUAGAUACCCUGGUAGUCCACGCCGUAAACGAUGUCGAUUUGGAGGUUGUGCCCUUGAGGCGUGGCUUCCGGAGCUAACGCGUUAAAUCGACCGCCUGGGGAGUACGGCCGCAAGGUUAAAACUCAAAUGAAUUGACGGGGGCCCGCACAAGCGGUGGAGCAUGUGGUUUAAUUCGAUGCAACGCGAAGAACCUUACCUGGUCUUGACAUCCACAGAACUUUCCAGAGAUGGAUUGGUGCCUUCGGGAACUGUGAGACAGGUGCUGCAUGGCUGUCGUCAGCUCGUGUUGUGAAAUGUUGGGUUAAGUCCCGCAACGAGCGCAACCCUUAUCCUUUGUUGCCAGCGGUCCGGCCGGGAACUCAAAGGAGACUGCCAGUGAUAAACUGGAGGAAGGUGGGGAUGACGUCAAGUCAUCAUGGCCCUUACGACCAGGGCUACACACGUGCUACAAUGGCAUAUACAAAGAGAAGCGACCUCGCGAGAGGAAGCGGACCUCAUAAAGUAUGUCGUAGUCCGGAUUGGAGUCUGCAACUCGACUCCAUGAAGUCGGAAUCGCUAGUAAUCGUAGAUCAGAGUGCUACGGUGAAUACGUUCCCGGGCCUUGUACACACCGCCCGUCACACCAUGGGAGUGGGUUGCAAAAGAAGUAGGUAGCUUAACCUUCGGGAGGGCGCUUACCACUUUGUGAUUCAUGACUGGGGUGAAGUCGUAACAAGGUAACCGUAGGGGAACCUGCGGUUGGAUCACCU
rnacentral:rRNA from 1 species